rnacentral:rRNA from 1 species
AACUUUCAACAAUGGAUCUCUUGGUUCCGGCAUCGAUGAAGAACGCAGCGAAAUGCGAUAAUAAUGUGAAUUGCAAAUUCCGUGAAUCAUCGAAUCUUUGAACGCACAUUGCGCCCUCUGGUAUUCCGGAGGGCAUGCCUGUCCGAGCGUCAUUGCAACCUUCAAGCACG